GGCGUCCUGCCGGCGGGGCGCCCCCGGCCUGAGACUCCCUGGAAGCCUCGUCCGCGAGUCGCGGACUCGGGGCCCGGAGGGCGGCGGGAGGUCCUGCGCUGCGGUGCGGCUAUAGCGCCCGCGCUCCCCGCGGAAGAACCGCCGAGUCGAGCGCUGAAGGUGUGGCCCACCAGCAGGAGUGUCAGAACGUGCCGAGCCGCUCGAGUCGGAGUCGCCAGAACCCCCGGAAGACGAGCCGUUCACCGGCAGGCCAACUGGGGCUCCUUCGUGUAGUGGACUGUCAGCCAAGCGUCGGGAACGCAGUGUCGUGGGUGUGCGGCUGACCGGGUGAGGAGGAUCUUUCACAGAGACCGUGCCCCUCCGUGGAGUCCAGGAACAGGGCCUCAAACCUGCGUCCUCAUGGAUACUAGUCAAAUUUGUUUCCCCUGAGCCAGGACAGGAACUCCCUUCGAGGAUAUUUGUUUGUUUGAUUGUUUCAUUCUGCUUUUUUUUUUUUUCUAGGGCCACACCCACAGCGUGUGGAGGCUCACAAGCUAGGGGUCCAGUCGGAGCUGUCGCCGCCAGCCUAUACCGUAGCCACAGCCACGCAGGAUCUGAGCUGCAUCUGCACCCUACGCCACAGCUCGCAGCAACACUGGAUCCCCAACCCACUGAACCAGGCCAGGGAUCGAAUUGCAACCUCAUGGUUCCUAGUCAGGUUCAUUAACCACUGAGCCAUGACAGGAACUCCGCUUCAAGGAUAUUUGGAAGCAUCUAUAUUUAUGGCCCAUCUCAGAAUGCAAAGGGUUUUAGAAAUGUAAACCUCUUUGCUUUUUGGAGUGUAAAUAUUUGGGGGCUUAGGAGUCUGAUGCAUCUGUGUGCGACAGAGCUGGUCUCAGCAGGCACCUCACUGGGCUCUCAUAAGGGGAUUUCUUUCACGGAACCGUCUUUGGUAUGUAGCAGGUGUUCGUAGGUGUUAGUCAUUGCCGUUACUGUCUGUAUCACUGCCAUCAUCAGAGCCUGACAAGGCAAGGCUUCCAGGCCUCGCACUGCCAUGAAAGAGUUGGGCGGAGCAAGGCCUGUGCGUUGGGUCUCUGAGCCUCAGUUCCUGAGUGGGCAACAUGAAAAUUGAUGCCCGCUUCAAGGGUUGCUGUGACCGUUACACCAGUGUGGAUGGGAAAGCAGUUGUUUCAAGAAGCAUCAAAGGUUAAUAAUACCUGGAACAUUUUCCAGAAGAAAGUUAAAUACAGGAUGGCCUGAUGCGUUCCCCAUAGGGUGUACUCUUCGCUUCCGUUUCAUUCGUGUUCAACAAGAUGCGCGUUCAGGCCAUGCUCCAUUUCUGCAGCAAAAAAGGCACUUUGCAGCCAUAUUCUUUGCACGUGAUGCUGAGUAGUAUUUCAGAGCCAGGCUUUAGAAACUUCAAGGCCUGGGAGUUCCUUCGUGGCUCUGGUUAACGAACCCGACUAGGAUCCAUGAGGACUCAGGUUUGAUCCCUGGCCUUGCUCAGUGGGUUAAGGAUCUGGCGUUGCUAUGAGCUGUGGUGUAGGUCACAGACAUGGCUUGGAUCCCAUCAUUUUGCUGUGGCUGUGGCAUAGGGUGGCAGCUGCAGCUCCGAUUUGACCCCUAUCCUGGGAACUUCCAUAUGCCUCUGGUAUGGCCCUAAAAAGACCAAAAAAAAAUUAGCAAAGGAGUUCCUGCUGCAGUGCAAUGAGAUUUAAGUGUCUGCAGCACCAGGACACAGGUUCAACUCCCUGCCCCUCAGAGAGGGCUAAAGGAUCCAGCAUUACCGAAGCUUCAGCGUAGGUCAGCUUCAACUGUGUCUCAGAUCUGAUCCAUGGCCCGGGAGCUUCAUGCGCUGCAAGGUGGCCAAAAAAUUUAAAAAGGAAAAAGUUCUUGUCGUGUCUCAGCAGUAACAAACCCGAUUAGUCAUGAGGAUGUGGGUUCAAUCCCUGGCCCGGCUCAGUGGGUUAACAUUCUGCUGUUGCCAUGGGCUGUGGUGUAGGUUGCAUAUGUGGUUUGGAUUUGAUCUCUAGUCUGGGAACUUCCAUAGCCCUCCAAAAAAAAAAAA
rnacentral:lncRNA from 1 species